rnacentral:rRNA from 1 species
UACGUAGGGUGCGAGCGUUGUCCGGAAUUAUUGGGCGUAAAGAGCUCGUAGGCGGCUUGUCGCGUCGGAUGUGAAAGCCCGGGGCUUAACUCCGGGUCUGCAUUCGAUACGGGGAGGCUAGAGUUCGGUAGGGGAGAUCGGAAUUCCUGGUGUAGCGGUGAAAUGCGCAGAUAUCAGGAGGAACACCAGUGGCGAAGGCGGCCUUCUGGACCAAUACUGACGCUCAUGCACGAAAGCGUGGGGAGCAAACAGG